rnacentral:rRNA from 1 species
GCGUUUGCUACGCGGAGGGACAUUAC